rnacentral:rRNA from 1 species
GACGGGACCCGCACAAGCAGCGGAGCGUGUGGUUUAAUCGAUGCUACACGAAGAACCUUACCAGGGUUGACAUGCAAGUGGUAGUGAUCUGAAAGUGAACGACCCUUCGGGAGCUUGCACAGGUGCUGCAUGGCUGUCGUCAGCUCGUGUCGUGAGAUGUUCGGUUAAGUCCGCUAACGAGCGCAACCCUCGUCGUGUGUUACAAGUGUCACGCGAGACCGCCGAUGUCAAGUCGGAGGAAGGUGGGAUGACGUCAAGUCAGCAUGGCCUUUAUAUCCAGGGCUACACACACGCUACAAUGGUCAACACAAUAGGUCGCGAAACCGCGAGGUGGAGCCAAUCCUCAAAGUUGGCCUCAGUUCAGAUUGUAGGCUGCAACUCGCCUGCAUGAAGAUGGAGUUGCUAGUAACCGCAGGUCAGCACUACUGCGGUGAAUACGUUCCCGGGGUUU